rnacentral:rRNA from 1 species
UUAAAACGCUCGUAGUUGGGUUUCUGUCGGGAACGUCUGGUCUGCCCCAGUGGCGAGUACUAGUUCCGUUUCUGGCUCUUCAUGGGGAACGGGUGCGCACUUCAUUGUGUGGCCCGGAAACCAUGACUUUUACUUUGAGGAAAUGAGAGUGCUUCAAGCGGGUGUCCGCCACGAAUACGUUAGCAUGGAAUAAUAGCAUUGGACCUCGGAUCAUAGCUGUUGGUUGCUGGAACCGAGGUGAGGGUAAACAGGGACAGUUGGGGGCAUUCGUAUUUAACUGUCAGAGGUGAAAUUCUUGGAUUUGU